GCUGUAGCACAGUGGUUAGAGCAGCUGGUUUGCAUGCAGAAGGUCCCAGGUUCAAUCCCUGGUGGCAGCA